rnacentral:rRNA from 1 species
GGCGAACGCUGGCGGCAGGCUUAACACAUGCAAGUCGAGCGGGCAUCCUUGUGGUGUCAGCGGCAGACGGGUGAGUAACGCGUGGGAACGUGCCCUUCGGUUCGGAAUAACUCAGGGAAACUUGAGCUAAUACCGGAUACGUGCGAGAGCAGAAAGGUUUAUCUGCCGAAGGAUCGGCCCGCGUCUGAUUAGCUAGUUGGUGAGGUUAUGGCUCACCAAGGCGACGAUCAGUAGCUGGUCUGAGAGGAUGAUCAGCCACACUGGGACUGAGACACGGCCCAGACUCCUACGGGAGGCAGCAGUGGGGAAUAUUGGACAAUGGGGGCAACCCUGAUCCAGCCAUGCCGCGUGAGUGAUGACGGCCUUAGGGUUGUAAAGCUCUUUUCUCCGGGACGAUAAUGACGGUACCGGAGGAAUAAGCCCCGGCUAACUUCGUG